GCAGCAGCCGUAGUAGUAGUGUCAGCGACAGUGCUGCUGUGUUGGGGACGGCGGAGGUAUUAGCGGAUAUAAUGAUGGUGGUGGUGGUGGUGGUGGCAGUAGUAAUAGUCUAGUCAUAGUCCGACACGUGACCCGGCUGGUUGUUCGAGAUUGCGCAGUUGCAUCGAUCUCCACGUAUUCUUGAAAGACGGGGUUCACUUCGUUAUGAGUCUGCUGCCUAACUUGGCCUCCCAAACGGGCCUGUUAGUACAGCUCAAAUACUGUGAGAAUCUGUAUAUUUCGGCAAUAUUAUUAUUAAUCUCUCAGCUCCGGUGCUAUGUAGAUAACUCUAUUUUGACUCUUUAAAACCAAAAAAAAAAAAUAUUUGAAAAAGAGAAAAUAUUAUUAAAAAAAAACAAAAAAAAAAAACAAAACAAACGACAGAGUGGAAAAGAAGACAGGAGAAAUACAAACAAACAAACAAAACCUAUCAUUUAUCAAUCAACUAACAUAAACAAAUGCAAACACAAACAACAGUUAUAACUAUAUCAACAACAAAUUAUUAUUAUUAUUAUUAUUAUUAUUAAUAAAUCCACGAAAGGGAUAGAAAAACAUAAACAAACAAAAAAAAGCAAGUAACAAAAAUUACCACAAACAUAAGCUCGUGUGUGUGUUGUAUAGUUUUCCCCCCCACCAAGCAGAUUCUGUGAUAAAGUGCAAUUUUGCAGGGUAUAUUAUAAAUUAAAAACAAAACAAACAAAAAAAACAACAUUAAUCGGCCAUUAAAAACAACUCCUUUUGAAGCUGAAUAUCCAAAGAUCUUUUUCAUCUUGCCUUAAGUAUCAACCACAUUGCAACUAUCAUUGUAUACAUCCUCAGGAUCCAAUCCGUUGCCAAUAUCCAGUUACAAACACUGCCUAAAGACUUCAUAAUACAUAUGGAAAAAUUUGGCUUGUCUCCCCAACUCUUGCACACAGCUUCCCACCUUGAAAGUAAGUGUAAUGCUGUGCGGGUCUCCACACAACCCACAUGGCAAAGGAAAAAGUCUGGCAGAGUGCCAGAUGAAUCUAGAAGGCUUUCAAGGACACAUCCCUGGAAUGUCAGCAGAUUCUGUCUCUUCAAAUGACAAGAUUCAGAAAGCAAGUACCUGGCACAACAAUCCAGGACUAGGGUGGCAAACAAGCAACGAUUUACUUGUUGAAAAAAGGAAUAAGGAGGUUUGGCCUUCAACCAGAAACAAAUACUGGAACAGAACCUCUCCUUUUGGAGGUAAUUAUGGUUCCGUUAGUUCAGGAUCUGUGAUAUCUAGCUCAAGCUACCAAAACCAAGGUCUUGAGACCAGUCAGGGAUCAAGUGCCAUGCAAGGUCAAAGUGCUUCCGCGUGGAGCUCAAAUCCCAAUUAUAAUGGACUUGAAAGACACACUUGGAAUGCUGGGAGCAUCUCUAAUAGUUCUGCUGCCAAUCUCAACAAUGCAGGAUGGGGUACCCUACCUCACAGUCUUUCGAUGAAUAGCCAAGGCCAUAAUAUGCAACUUCGCUCUGGUUCUGCUGGAAAUGAUGGUAGUUCCAUGAAUUCUUUUGCUACAAGUAACAUCCCCAGUAUGGCAUGGGGAGGACCUGCUUCUCAGGGUGGUGGCGGUGGUAAUAGUGGUGGUGCUGGUGGCGGCGGAAUGGGUCGUCCACCAAACACAGCCAUACAGCUGAUGCAACAUAGUUCUGGCACAGGAGACAUGAACAGUCACAACAGAUCUGUACCUAAUAAUGGUGCUUCACUCAGUACAAGUGAACCUCAGGGUGGCUGCCAGUCAAGAGGACAUGGUGGCAAUCAGUUAUUGUGGCAGGGUGUUAACCAGACUAUCAUGCCACCACCAGCUAUUUCUUCACUUCGUGGUACUGGUUGCAGUGAACCCAGCUGGAAUAGUGUUAAUAAUCAGAAUAAUCGACCAUUAAUGAUAAACAAUCAGGGAGAUGGGUCUUUGACAGACAAACAGAGUGAUAACACAUGUCAGCAGAAUUCUGGAGAGACCUCCACCAACUGGAGUGUGUUGUCGAGUGCCAAUAGUGGGAAUACAAAGAAAAACCCCAACAACUGGGACCGUGCUGUUUCACCUGCCACUAGUGUCAGUUCAGAUUGGAGUAGUAACACUGGACAACGCAGCAUCAGCCAACCACCAGUAAGUGGUAACCAGUGGAACAGCAACACACCUAACAGUAACAAUAGCAAUAGCAACAAUACCACCAACCACCAAGGAGUAGGAGGAGGAGGUUCUUCAUCAUCUUCGUCAUCUUCAUCUUCAUCGUCAAAUCCACCCAAAUCGCAGCCCAGUACAUGGGCACAAGCUGCUGGAAAGGGACUCAAUAUUUCUUCCACUCCAAAUUCCACUAGUGGAAAUUCUACUGCUGGAAAUAAUGGAUCUCGGUCAUCCAUCUCUUCUCAACGAGAUGAGAUAAAACGGCUCAUUGAAAGCAACGAAGGCUGGGGAUCACGACCAAUCAGGCAAGACAAUACCUGGGUCGUGCAAUUCUCGCCCAAAUCUAAGCGAAAAUUUGAAGAGGAAUCAAAUGUGUGGAAUAAUGGCAGCACAAAUGGAACUGCUGUUUGGGAAGCAACUAAAGAUGGUACUGCAAUCUGGUAUGGUACUGCUGGCAGACCUGGUGUGUCAGGGUUUCAUCAUGAAUCAGACAAUACAAAUACCUGGGGUGAUAAAUCCAAUAAAACCAGCUCAGGUGCUAUAGGUAAUGCUAGCGUUGGCAACACUGCUAGCAAUAACCCUGUCCGGUGUAGUAGUGCAGGCAGUAGUGGGAGUGGAAUUGGGAGUAAUCCUGUGGGGAGUAACAAUAAUAUUACUAUUAGUGGAGGAGCAAGCAAUAGCAACAUCAUCCUUAGCAGCAGCAGUAGCAACAAUAAUAGCGGCAACAACAGUAGUUGCAGUAAUAAUGCCCAGGGUAAUAACAAUGUUGCCAAUAAUAGUAGCAGCAGCAUUAUGGGAAGCAUUCCUAUUCGUAACAAUGGCAACAACCAAUCUACUGGACCACAACCAAACAUUGGCAGCAACAACAGUGAUAAGAAUGUUGGGAUGUGGAGUAGCAGCAAUGGCGGACCUGGGAGUGUUGGUGGCGGCAGUGGUAGCAGCAGUAAUGCAAGUGGAGGAGGCAGCAGCUCUGGCAGCAGUACAGGAGGAGGUGUUGCAAAUAGCGUAAGUGGAACAGGAAAUGUGCAGCCUAAAAACUGGAACAAGACUGAAACAGGGUCCUGGAAUGCAACUCAUACUGCAAGCACCAAUAAUGGCAAUAUCAAUGCUGGUAUUAACAAAGGGCCAAAAUCUUUCGGCCACUCAAACAGUGGCUGGGAAGAACCAUCUCCACCCUCCCAAAGACGACAUAUUGAUGUUGACAAUGGUACAUCGUAUUGGGGAGAUCCAGCACAUCAACCUCAACCUCAGAAUUGGAACAAUCUUCCUAACUUAUCUAACCCUCAGCAACCUCAACAUCUCCAACAACAGCAACUUCACCACCAACAACAACAACAGCAGCAGCAACAACAACAACCACAACAACAUCAACAGCAACAACAGCAGCAGCAACAGCAGCAACAACAACAGCAACAACUACAACAACAACAACAACAACAACAGCAGCAGCAGCAACAACAGCAACAACAGCAACAGCAAAGACAGAAAGAUGACAACCAGUGGAAUAAAGGACUUCCUCAAAAGCAAGCAAGUUCUGGCUGGGGCGAUCCCGCACCUCCAAAACCACAAGCUGAUGAUGGCACAAGUAUUUGGGCCACAAGUGCUCAACAACAGGCAAAAUCUAAUGGUUGGGAUACCGGUGGCACACAAUGGGGGGCUGCAGCUAUGGCUUCCAAAUAUAGACCAGCACCUAACUGGCAUGAUAAUGACAUAAAUUCUUGGAAUCCUCAAAGAAAGGGUUGGAAUGAAGAUAGCAGUAUAGGUAAUCCUAAUGUUGAUACUGCUUGGCAUGAUGCUGACAUGGGCACAUGGAAUGAGGGACCUCAGGAAAAUAGUUCAUGGAGUAGUGCUCCCGGUUGGAAAGGCAAACGGAAUAAUUUCAAGGGUGCUAACAAGUUUCCCGGUGGUGGUAGCCAAGCUCCUCUCAUGAGAGUGAAGCUUUUGCAGCAACUCACUGACAUGGGUUUCAAGAGAGAUGAUGCCCAAACUGCCCUGAUCAGCCAUAACAUGAACUAUGAUAAUGCCCUCGCUGAUUUGCGACAAGGUGCUACAGCUAUGAAAAAAGAUGAGGAUGUAUUCCAAAUGGAUUCCAAACGCAAAUUAUCUGGAAUUAUUGAUACAGCUAGUGGCUUAAAUGAUGACAUAUCUGAUAGUCAGUCUGACAGUAGUCAUUUUGUGCCUAAUAUCUCCAUGCAAAAUACUCCAUUUCCAACUGCUCAAUCUCAGCUCUCCAAUCAGUCACACACACUCCCUCACAAAGCAAUCUCUAGUCUACCCCAGCCUAUUAUGAGUAAUAAUCAGAAUGCUAUCCUUCAGCAAAAAGUUCUGCAUAAAAUGAACCAGCAGCAACAGCAGCAGCAGCAGCAGCAACAACAACAAUCAUUACAAAUGAGCCAAGGCCCUCAAACACAGCCAUCGCAACAACAGCAACAACAUCAACCAGCAACACCUCCUCAAGUGCAAUCACAUCCUCAACAAGUAAUAAACUCUACACAGGGACCGGUAGGUGGUCGUGGAAGUGGUGGUAGUAUUAGUGUCAGCACUAAUAACCCUGGUGCUAGUGGAAAUACAGUUACUGCAGGAGGGAGCAACACUAGUGGUGCUGGAAGUAACAACCAACUUCCAACCACUAACACUGUGCAACAGCAGUUAGCACAGCACCAAAUCUUGCAACAGCUUCGAAUGGCCGUCCAGGCAGGGCUUAUUAGCCCACAAUUGCUAAACCAGCAAUUGCCUCCUCCAAUGCUCCUUCUUUUGCAGCAACUUCUGCAAAUGCAAUCAGGCUUGCAACAGCUUGUUACAAGGCAGCAGUUCCUACAGCAACAGAACCGAAAUGGUAGUGGUGGGAAUGCCAGUCACACUCAAAAGCAAAUGGACCAAACAAUCAAUCGAUUUAAGACACAAAUGCUGCAGCUACAGCAGCAAAUAGCUCAGGCCCAGCAAAAUCUUCCCAAACCUCAAAAUAUACCUGAACCAAUAGAGGCUUUCUCACCCUUGCAGAAUGAUAUGACCAACAUAUCCAUAUCCACCUGCUCUCAGUCCCGUCUUCUCAACCAGUGGAAACGUCCUUCUCCUGAUAAAGAUGCCAAUAUUCCCCCUGAUCCAAUGAUGAAUAAGGCUGUGGGUUCCAAACCUCUCCAUCACUCUAUGUCUUCUUCAAAUUUAGGAAGAUAUGACUUGAGUCUUGGCCUCAGUGAUUCAACUUGGUCAAAUGCCCCCACAACUUCAUCCCAAAAUUGGCCCAAUGUAUCUCCAAUUGGAACAAAUAGUCAAGUUGAAUCUUCCAAAGACAUUUCUCAAGUGAAGGAAUCUCAAUCUGCUAGCUCUUCAUCUGCACUCAAUUUGAAUGAUAUGAUUCCAGAAUUUGUCCCUGGUAAGCCCUGGCAAGGAAUUACUGGUACUAAAAGUGUGGAAGAUGAUCCAUAUAUCACUCCAGGAAGUUUUUCUCGUUCACUGAGUGUUAAUACUAUAAAAGAUGAUUACUUGAAUAACUUUUCCUCUAGUAUUACCAAAGCCGGUUCAAUUGUUACUUCAGAAUCAUGGCCAAUGAAAGACUUCCCUAAGACAAGCAAUUCAUCUCAAACAAUUUGUGGUGGAACUCAAAAGAAUUGGAGCUCAGCUGAUUCUGUUACUACUCCCACCAGCUUCACUUCUGAGGUCUGGGGUGUGCCUUUGCAACCCAAAUCUAGUGGAAAUUCUGCUCGCCCUCCACCAGGCCUUGUUCAUAACAAAACUACAUCAGCAUCCACAUCCAGCUGGAACAGCAGCUCUUUUCCUGGCAGCCGUCAGGUAUCUUGGUCUGGAAGAUCAACUGAACCAUUCCCUUCAGUCAACUCGUCCGCAUCAUGGGUUGUAAGUAACUGGUUGGUCCUCAGGAAUCUCACUCCCCAGAUUGAUGGCUCUACUUUAAAAACUCUGUGCCAACAACAUGGACCUCUGCAAUUUUUCUACCUUAGCCUCAACCAUGGCCAAGCCCUUGUACGUUAUUCAUCCAAAGAUGAAGCAGUGAAGGCUCAAAAGGCUUUGAAUACUUGUGUUCUUGGAAACACAACCAUAUUAGCUGAAUUUGUUUCAGAACGCGAGGCUAACCACUUAGUGGAGCAAAGUUCAACUACUUCAGCAGCACCCCCAUCCACUAGUCAAUGGUCGCAGUCCUCUCAAUCAGAUUAUCGGCCUCCACCCCCACCACAACCUGGUGCACCUCCACACUACAGCAGCCGCAACGAAAAUCACUGGAACAUGCCUGCUUCUGUUCAAUUUGGAGGUUUUCCAGGGAACACUAUGUGGAACAAUAGCCUCUGGGGCGGAGUUGCAAUGGAUGACCAUGGUUCUGCUCCUUUACUUGGCAAUAUUCUGGGGGGAGAAUCUAUGUGAUUUUUUUUUUUUCUCCCUACCCUGUGAAAAUUUUUAUUCUUUUAUUUUUCCUCCAUCCAACUCACACCACACUAUCUUCAUUGUACUAUAUUUGUCUGUCUUGUCUCUCUAUCACUUUGUCUCUGUCUGUGUCUCUCUCUGUGAUCUCUAGUUUUUAUUUCUUAUUUAUCUGACUCCUACCCAAAUGGCUACACGUACAUAAACAUAACCCCUUGUCCUUUCACUUGUUAUUUUAAAAACAAAAAUAAUGAAACAACUAAAUCUCCUCUGUGAAACCAGAUCUCGUAGCUUUCAUGGCAACAUAUUCAUUCAUACUUUGUUCGUUUUUGUUUUUCUUUCUAUAUAUUAAAAGAAAAAAAAACAUUGUAAAAAAAAAAAGCAAAAAAAAAAAGAUCUGAUAACCAUGCAGCAUUAUAGAGAAUGAAAUUUAAUUUGAAAAGUCAUUUAAUUAUAUUAUAAAUUAUGAAUCGGGUGCAAUCAGCUGUUGUAUGAACUGUUUUUGAAGCAGAAGAAAAACAAAUAUACACACAUAUAUAUAUAUAUAUAUACAUAUAUAUAUACAUAUAUAUAUAUAUAUAUAUAUAUAUAUAUAUAUAUAUUAUAAACUUUCCCACCACCCCAUUCCCCAAAAAAGUGACAGUUAAAGUUGACCAGAAAUAGUCAAAUUUUGUCAUGUGAUAAUCUUUUGAAGUUAUGCCUAGUUUUAUUGUCCAAUGCAAUGGAGAUAUAACUAGUUCCUACAGCAGCAACAGCAGCUAGGAACUGCUGGCAGCAGAAAGCGGUGCUUGUUCAAAGCCGUAUAUAGACACAAAUCCUAUUGAGUGAAGAAAUUACAAGAUUAGAAAGAAUGAGUGAGAAUGAGAGAAAUGAUGUAGAGCUUAUGCUUACUCUGAUGGUGUUGAUUCUUACCUUCAUGCAUAUGUAAUAAAACCAAGGUGGGUAAAAAUAAAAACUUUAAAAAAAAAAAAUUAGAAGAAAAAUAUAGAAAACAGCAACUAUGUAUGACUGAAAGAUCUAGGAACUCUGUGUAAUUGAAAGAAUAAGGAAAGCAUGUAUGAUUGAAAGAAGGAGGUAUGUAUGAUUGAAAGAACAAGUAUUGCUUCUUCAAAACAAACAAAAAAAAAAAAAGAGAGAAAACUAAUUAAUAAUCUUGAUAUACAAAGUAUAUGGCCAAUUUUUAAUUUUUAUGUUCUUGUGAAAAAUAUUUUUAGACUAUAUUGCCAUCAUAGAUAUUUUUUUCUUUUCGUCGUAAUCUAUUUUUUUUUCCACUCUUUUAAAAUGUUACCAAAGGGUAAAAAAAAAUUUUAACAGUAAUUUUAAUUGAGUUGAAACUUGAUCAACAAUUUACAUUUUUUUUUUUAAGCACAUACUAAAUAAACAGUAAAUAUCUUUGAAGAAUUUCCAAAUAUCAAACAAUUCCAAAUUAUUGUUACAUUUAAAACCAACAGACUAGAAGCUAGUUGUUUUGGUUUAGAAUGUUUGCAAUGACAGUCUUUAGAGUGGUGAUACAGAAAAUAGCUGAUAAUGAGAAAAUGUUUUUCUUAUUUUUUACUUUAUUUUUUAUUUAUUUAUUAUCAUUAUUAUUAUUAUUUAUUGUUUUUUUUUUUUGUUUCCUUCUGAAAUUUGACUACAAUCUAAAAAUAUUUUGUCUGUGCCAAAAUAAUGUACGAUUGGUUUGUGUUCUGUCACAAAGCAUAACCAUUUUUUCAUACUACAAAUGAGUUAAUUUAGAGAGCAAAAAGAUUUUUUGUAAUUAAAAUUAAGAUAAAUAAACAUUUUUUUUUUCUGUAAUUUUUAAAUAUAUUUUUGUAAAAAAUCACUGCUUAGAGCUUCUAAUUGUAAGUUGUUGUGAGUUAACAUCAUGGUUCAUUAAGUAUUGUAUAUUUUCUAAGAAAGAAAACAAACACAAAUCUAAAAUCAUGCACAAUAUAAGACUACUUGCAUUAAAAAAAAUCCUAUUAUAAAAAAAAAAACAAAAAAAAAAUCUCAUCAAACUAAAUUUGCUGACCUAGCUAUUGCUAAUAGCUGCAUUUGUUCCACUUGAGGAGAAUUCCAGAGAAUGUAACAUUUAAAUUCAACUGUUUGAAAUAUGCAUCGAAUGUGGGUGCAAAAUCUUUGGUAGGGUACAAGAAAAUUUCAUAAAUAAUUAACCAGAUCUCUGCAUUUUUUAAAAAUUAUUAUCAUUAUUAUUAUUAUUAUUAUUAUUAUUAUUAUUUCUAAUUAUCAAUCUGCCUCUUUUCAGCUGCUAAAUUAUAGAACUGAACAAGUUGCUUAAUCCAAAACUUUCUAAAAGCAAACAUGAGGAUUGUUUACAGAUUUUAAAAAAAGCUGAAAAUGCUGUUAGUAUUUUCUGAGAAAGCCAGAUGGAUAUGAACAGAAUUUGUAACCUAGGAGAGACACAAGGAUAACUCUCUUUGCUGCAGGAGGCUCUAGGAACAAAUGUAAGGAGUAGUAUUUAAUAAUAAUAAAAAUGAACUUUCUAUGUAUCGAUUUU